rnacentral:rRNA from 1 species
AGAGUUUGAUUAUGGCUCAGGGAUGAAACGCCAGCGAUAGGCCUAACACAUGCAAAGUCGAGGGGGCAGCACAAUGAAGUAGCAAUACGGAUGGUGGCGACCGGCGCACGGGUGAGUAACGCGUAUGCAACCUGCCUACAACAGGGGAAUAACCCGUUGAAAGACGGACUAAUACCCCAUAACACAGGGAUCCCGCACGGGAAUAUUGUUAAAGAUUUAUCGGUUGUAGAUGGGCAUGCGUUCCAUUAGCUGGUUGGUGAGGUAACGGCUCACCAAGGCAACGAUGGAUAGGGGAACUGAGAGGUUCAUCCCCCACACUGGUACUGAGACACGGACCAGACUCCUACGGAAGGCAGCAGUGAGGAAUAUUGGUCAAUGGACGCAAGUCUGAACCAGCCACGUCGCGUGAAGGAAGACGGCCCUACGGGUUGUAAACUUCUUUUGUAAGGGAAUAAAGUGUAGUACGUGUACUAUUUUGCAUGUACCUUACGAAUAAGGAUCGGCUAACUCCGUGCCAGCAGCCGCGGUAAUACGGAGGAUCCGAGCGUUAUCCGGAUUUAUUGGGUUUAAAGGGUGCGCAGGCGGGAGAUUAAGUCGGCGGUGAAAUUUUGCAGCUCAACUGUAAAAGUGCCUUCGAAACUGGUUUCCUUGUGUGUGGAUGAAGUAGGCGGAAUUUGUGGUGUAGCGGUGAAAUGCAUAGAUAUCACGAGGAACUCCGAUUGCGCAGGCAGCUUACUAAACCAUAACUGACGCUCAGGCACGAAGGCGUGGGGAUCAAACAGGAUUAGAUACCCUGGUAGUC